rnacentral:rRNA from 1 species
CCUGACUGCUAUCGGAUUGAUACUAAGCCAUGCGAGUCAUUGUAGCAAUACAAGGCAGACGGCUCAGUAACGCGUAGUCAAUCUACCCUAUGGACGGGAAUAACCUCGGGAAACUGAGAAUAAUGCCCGAUAGAACAUUAUGCCUGGAAUGGUUUAUGUUUCAAAUGAUUUAUCGCCAUAGGAUGGGACUGCGGCCUAUCAGUUUGUUGGUGAGGUAAUGGCCCACCAAGACUAUUACAGGUACGGGCUCUGAGAGGAGUAGCCCGGAGAUGGGUACUGAGACACGGACCCAGGCCCUAUGGGGCGCAGCAGGCGAGAAAACUUUGCAAUGUGCGAAAGCACGACAAGGUUAAUCCGAGUGGUUUCUGCUAAAGAAACCUUUUGUCAGUCCUAGAAACACUAACGAAUAAGGGGUGGGCAAGUUCUGGUGUCAGCCGCCGCGGUAAAACCAGCACCUCAAGUGGUCAGGAUGAUUAUUGGGCCUAAAGCAUCCGUAGCUCGUUUUGUAAGUUUUCGGUUAAAUCCAUGCGCUUAACGUAUGGGCUGCCGGGAAUACUGCAUAACUAGGAAGUGGGAGAGGUAGACGGUACUCGGGAGGAAGGGGUAAAAUCCUUUGAUCUCUUGAUGACCACCUGUGGCGAAGGCGGUCUACCAGAACACGUUCGACGGUGAGGGAUGAAAGCUGGGGGAGCAAACCGGAUUAGAUACCCGGGUAGUCCCAGCUGUAAACUAUGCAAACUCAGUGAUGCAUUGGCUUAUGGCCAAUGCAGUGCUGCGGGGAAGCCGUUAAGUUUGCCGCCUGGGAAGUACGUACGCAAGUAUGAAACUUAAAGGAAUUGGCGGGGGAGCACCACAAGGGGUGAAGCCUGCGGUUCAAUUG